UCAAACCUGCGUUGUGCGAAGAUUUGAUUUGGUUUUGAUCCUAUUUAAAUUUCGGGAAUUUAAUAAACUUAUCUGACUAGGUCAGGCCUCCACUGUUAGGGGAAGACUAAAAAGUAAGGUGAAAAUGCCCACCUGCGAGAGCGGGGUUAAAAACCAAAUGAUCUAAACGGCUUUGCGGGUAUUGA
rnacentral:other from 1 species